AGCGAACGCUGGCGGCAUGCUUAACACAUGCAAGUCGCACGGUCGGGUUUCGGCCCGGCAGUGGCGGACGGGUGAGUAACGCGUAGGUAUCUAUCCUUGGAUGGGGGACGAACCGUACGGGAACGUAACGCGUAAUAACCGCCAUGACGACCCGACGGUCCGAAACGGACCGGCCGAGGCCGGUCCUGGGGAGGGAGCCUCG
rnacentral:rRNA from 1 species